GGCGGCAGGCCUAACACAUGCAAGUCGAGCGGUAGAGAGAAGCUUGCUUCUCUUGAGAGCGGCGGACGGGUGAGUAAUACCUAGGAAUCUGCCUGAUAGUGGGGGAUAACGUUCGGAAACGGACGCUAAUACCGCAUACGUCCUACGGGAGAAAGCAGGGGACCUUCGGGCCUUGCGCUAUCAGAUGAGCCUAGGUCGGAUUAGCUAGUUGGUGAGGUAAUGGCUCACCAAGGCUACGAUCCGUAACUGGUCUGAGAGGAUGAUCAGUCACACUGGAACUGAGACACGGUCCAGACUCCUACGGGAGGCAGCAGUGGGGAAUAUUGGACAAUGGGCGAAAGCCUGAUCCAGCCAUGCCGCGUGUGUGAAGAAGGUCUUCGGAUUGUAAAGCACUUUAAGUUGGGAGGAAGGGCAGUUACCUAAUACGUGAUUGUCUUGACGUUACCGACAGAAUAAGCACCGGCUAACUCUGUGCCAGCAGCCGCGGUAAUACAGAGGGUGCAAGCGUUAAUCGGAAUUACUGGGCGUAAAGCGCGCGUAGGUGGUUUGUUAAGUUGAAUGUGAAAUCCCCGGGCUCAACCUGGGAACUGCAUCCAAAACUGGCAAGCUAGAGUAUGGUAGAGGGUAGUGGAAUUUCCUGUGUAGCGGUGAAAUGCGUAGAUAUAGGAAGGAACACCAGUGGCGAAGGCGACUACCUGGACUGAUACUGACACUGAGG
rnacentral:rRNA from 1 species